rnacentral:rRNA from 1 species
CCUACGGGGGGCAGCAGUGGGGAAUAUUGGACAAUGGGGGCAACCCUGAUCCAGCCAUGCCGCGUGUGUGAAGAAGGCCUUCGGGUUGUAAAGCACUUUAAGCGAGGAGGAAGGCUACUGGUUUAAUACACUGGUAGAUUGACGUUACUCGCAGAAUAAGCACCGGCUAACUCUGUGCCAGCAGCCGCGGUAAUACAGAGGGUGCAAGCGUUAAUCGGAAUUACUGGGCGUAAAGCGCGCGUAGGCGGUUGUGUAAGUUGGGUGUGAAAUUCCCGGGCUUAACCUGGGGACUGCACUCAAAACUGCACGGCUAGAGUAUGGGAGAGGAAGGUAGAAUUCCAGGUGUAGCGGUGAAAUGCGUAGAGAUCUGGAGGAAUACCGAUGGCGAAGGCAGCCUUCUGGCCUAAUACUGACGCUGAGGUGCGAAAGCAUGGGGAGCAAACAGGAUUAGAUACCCUUGUAGUC